CGGGUGAGUAACACGUGGAUAACCUACCUAUAAGACUGGGAUAACUUCGGGAAACCGGAGCUAAUACCGGAUAAUAUUUUGAACCGCAUGGUUCAAAAGUAAAAGACGGUCUUGCUGUCACUUAUAGAUGGAUCCGCGCUGCAUUAGCUAGUUGGUAAGGUAACGGCUUACCAAGGCAACGAUGCAUAGCCGACCUGAGAUGGUGAUCGGCCACACUGGAACUGAGACACGGUCCAG
rnacentral:rRNA from 1 species